CUUUACAUCUGAUAGUGGACUUGAGCAGUUACCAUCCAUCACUAAAAUAUUGAUGAUAUUAGUGAUCUCUCAAGCUCUUCAUUCAUUGCUCCCAAUAGAUUAUUGCCAAUUUCAACAACUUCAUAAAUGUAAAGUGAAUAAAAAAGUGAUUUACGAAAUGAAUAACAAUAUUGAUAUAUCGAGUAUUUUCAUGGUGAUUAUCAACAAAAAAGGCAAAAAGGUACAUUAUGUCUUAUUGGCAGUCAUUUUGUUACUUACAGCAUCAAUUGGAUCCAUUAUCAUGUUCAAUGCCUAUGUAGAUAUUUUAACCGCCAAAACUUUACGUGAAAAGAUUUUUUGUGUUUUACAGUUUUUAAUUGGAAUUUCAAUAAUUAUUGAUUACUUUUUCCUGGUAUUUGUAUCUGAUUGGAAACGAUUUGUUGAAUUUAUCCAAAUUUGGAAUAAAACUGGUCUACAAGAUGAUGAAGAGAUAAUCAAUUACAUCAAAAGUGAACGUAAAAAAAUAUCGUGUCAUUAUUUUCGCUCUUGAUAUUCUUUUCACAACUACAGUCUCUUUAUUCAGUCCACAAUAUGGUCAAAGACUGCACCAAAUCAGUGUGUGUCACUUGGCGGCAGUCAUUUGCACAAGUUUCGCUUACUCUCUUUUAUUCAGUUUGGUUAGUGAUUUUCCCGUUGCAAUUUGCACUCAUCAUUUGCACCGUAUUUAUCCGUGUUAAUCAACGACUCGAGCAUCUGAUUGAACAUCCUGACUCAGUUGACGACAACAUUAGAUCAAUUCGUUUUAUGCACUCUGUCGGUUCACAAUUGGCUCUAAAAGCCGAUCAAUUCGUUCGCUACUUUACAGCAGCCAAUUAUUCCAUUAUGGUUUCAUUUAUUCUGAUUAAUCUUUAUAGCAUCAUUUUCUUGUCAGAAUCAUUGAAUGACUAUUUUGCUGGGACUGGUGUACAAGUUGUUGUCACCUCAGUGGCUGCUAUGUUCACGUACUAUGCAAUCAAAAUAAAUCAUUUGGCCUCAAAGGGGUUUCAUCAUGCAUAUCAAUUGACUUUUAUUGCGAACAGUCCAAAUCAUUUUGCAGAGACUUCUUUACUUGUAUACAGAAUGGGCCGUAAUGAUAUUGGACUUACAUUUGCUAAUCUAUUUACCAUCACAGCAUCAUUCGUCACUUCUCUGGUUACUCUUUGUAUAACAUUCAUUUUGGCCUUUCCAACAAUUCAAUGCUGAAGAGGAUAUCGUGAUUGAAGAGACUGUCGCUGUCAAGUUAUUAAACAAAUCCGUUGUGGUCCGAUGAAGUCCUCAUUAAACUUUUAGAUGAAAGGAAGAGAACCAUAAUUCAUAUCAAAUCAUAUUUUCCAUCAACGAACACUUUUUUUGUGUAUCAGAUAAUGUUCAUGUAAAUAAAGGAAACUAGUCACUAGUUGAAACCUCAAAA